CCGGUACAGGACACACCACUGCCGUUAGAGCUGGAGGGUACCGGGAAGUGCAGCCACGGCGGCAGCACUAAGUUGGAUGUUGACAGCGGACACAGACGGGUGUUUUCUCCAGUUAUGAACUACAUCCUUCCUGCAAAGCCUGAGUCAUGGCACGCAGCCGCCGCGGAAGCAGGAUGACAGCUGGUCGCGUCCCGGCCUCGGUCACAUGGUGUUUGGACGGUCAGCGGUGAAGCUGAUCAGCUGUGUGCAGACAGACGUGUUAACCAGGCAUCUGCUGUCAGUGUGACCACAGUUUCCCCCUGCUGACACCGGGGGUUCCCAGCUCAGGAUGCCUCACAAGAGCAAGAAAGAGAAGGAAUCCUCCAAAUCUGGGAGAUCUAAGAAAUCUGGAAGUAAAAAUGGGCCUGCAGAUGACCAAGAAGGCUCCAAUAAGAAAGUGCCUCCCGCAACUCAGCUGAUGAGGGUAAAGCAACCGGGGUCACACUCGGCCAUGAAGAGGGAGAAGAGGUUCAGCACUUCCUCUUUCCCCCUCAGUGCUAACAGAGAGCUGCAGAAACUACCUGCGCUGGCAGGUACGCCUCCUUCAACAUAUCUCUAUAAGGGACUAUCACUUUUCUCUUCUUGCUCUCUUCUGUUUUCCUCAUCUGCAAUGAGCCAUAUACAGAGAUAAGCUACUCUUCAUCUGGAAUUCUUAGAUUGCAUGUUUGGCCUAUAUGGCUGAAGGCAAUCAUAUUAACAAUUCAUAGCCUCGGUGGAUCCUCAUAACCGCCUUUUUAACCUUGAGGUCUUUGCUCACUACAUAAUUUAUAACAAAGCAGACUGCCCAUCAGCUUUAGCUGUAAUGCAAAUGAUGUGCAAUCAGCUGCAUCUCCAAGCUGUACCUGGAAGAAACAGAUAUUACCCCCAGACCAGAAUGCAGUGGUGGAAUCUGGACCAUCCAAAAAUCUAGCCUCCAAUCAAACCUAAACUGUAAACUCUCAACAUUUCUUGCAUCAUUUCAGAUAAACAAUUUACAAUGCAGUCAGACCAAGCAAUGUGCUACUUGUUUCGGUGUUGUCUUUGUAAUCACCAAUGAGUACACUAACCCUCAUAAUUACAUACGUAGCAAACAAGCCGGUGCCACCGUCAGUGUUUUCAUUUUCCAUAUCGAUUGAUUCAAUUAGAACACACUGCGCUGAUGCAGAUUCUGAUUCUGAGACGAGACAGCGAGAUUGAGGUUUGAAACAUUUGCAUCAAUCUUUCAUGGCUUCUUUGUUUACACACAGCAUUACAGGCAGGAUCUGGCCUAAGUGGUUUCCUGUAAACUAUACCCAGCUAUGCUUUGUUCUCAUACCUGGAUGAGCUGGGUGAUGCUACACAGAAACAAUAGAGGUGUAUAGCAGAGAGGAUUUGCAGGCAGGAGGGAGACACGUCCACAGUGGGGAGAGUUCAAUUAAUGAUAACUGAUUUUGCUAAAAAAUAAUGAUUAAACUACUGUUUAUCUUGCCGAAAUGAUUAUUAUUGUAUCUUUAUCAUGCAUUUUAAAAAUUGGAACAAAAUGCGCUUACAUUAUAAUACACAUCUGAACUAAAACUCAAAGAUUAGAUAAUUAAUUUAAUUCAUAGAUGGACGAAAACAUUUACCAGAAAUUAUUUUGACGAUUGAAUAUGUGUAUAUCAGUUGUACUAAAUGCUGUAAGUCAGUGGUAGUCUCUUCAAAAAUAAUUCUAUCAGGUUUGUUUUCUGCUUUUUAUCAUUCUAAACUACAUAUUUUGGGGAUUUUGAUUGUUUGAUAGGAAUACAACACAUUUAUUAGUGUCCCCUUGGAUUGUUUUCCUUUAUUCAUUUCCAUCAAAUUAUUAAUUGAUUCAUGGAAAAACUGUCAAUACUACUGAUUUGUUUUCACUUUUUUAUUAGAUUUCUCAGCACUGUAUUCCCACGCUGUACACACUUGUCUGUGCAUGGCAGAAACAAGCAAUUCUAUAUCUACUACCUACUACAAAUACCAUAACAACAGCUCACUCACAAGCACUGAGAGAUGAGAAUCAAAGUACAGUCUUGAACAAGGCUGCCAAGAUGGUAUUUGUAAAUGGAUUCUGUUUGUAGCUUUAAAUGCUCUCCAUUAUUGCACAAACAUCUCAAAAUGGCCAUUCAGUGCCACAGGCUUUAAAGUUAUUUCUGUUCUCUUUGUAUUUUGUGUAUUCCAGGGAGAGGGGAAGCCUUGUUAAUAUUGUCAACAUGCCUUUCAUGCAAAUAAAGCAAACUGAAUUGAAUUGGGGGAAACCUGUCAAAUGCAUAGUGAUCGAAGAUGUUUUAGUAAGCAAUCACAUUUUUAUCUUAUGUUUUGGUCGUUCAUAUAAAGACACCACAGUUUCACUCACUCGCUGCUGUGGACAGACUGUUGCUAGUCGGACAGCAAUGCAUAUUUGAUGAAGAAGAUGCUGCUCCAGGUGUUAGUAAAACAUUUAGUGAUGAGUUGGUGUUUCAAAAGACUCUUGCAUAAAUCCCACAGCCUGUGCUGCCAUCUGUUGGCUGAAAAAUGGAAAAGCUGUGGCCGUGAUGUUUCAUUGUUUCAUGGUCUUUCGCCUUGCAGCAAGAAGCUUCCUGGUUCAAAUCCCGGGGUGGGCCUGGGAUCUUUCUGCAUGGAGUUUGCAUGUUAUCUCUGUGCAUGCGUGGGUUUUCUCCGGGCACUCCGGCUUCCUCCCACAGUCCAAAAAUAUGCUGAGGUUAAUUGAUUAUUCUAAGUUGCACGUAGGUGUGAAUGUGAGAGUGAUUGUCUGUCUGUAUAUGUAGCCCUGUGACAGACUGGCGACCUGUCCAGGGUGUCCCCUGCCUUCGCCCGAAUCAGCUGAGAUAGGCUCCAGUCCCCCCGCGACCCUAGUGAGGAUAAAGUGGUGUAUAGAGAAUGGAUGGAUGGAUGCUUUACACUGGGGCUGCACAGUGUCUCUGAGGUCAGUACUGUUGCCUUGCAGCUAGAAAAUCCCCAGUUCGAAUCUGGGCCUGGACCUGGACCUAGGAUAGGGUGACCAUACGUCCUCUUUUGCCCGGACAUGUCCUCUUUUGAGAGGCUGUCCGGCCUGUCCGGCCGGCGUUUAUAAAGUCCUUCAAAUGUCCGGGUUUUUGAUCUUGCCUAGCUUGAGCGUGUCACAGACCAGUGUAUUUAUCAUGGUAGGUUCUACAGAUACGGACCCGUACCCGUAGCCCGUGGCCUACGGAUACGGCACUUUCCCUUAUCAUAAAUAUUAAUGAGCCGAACAUAAAUAUUAAUGAGCCGACUGAUGAACGCGCUUCGUGAUUGGCUGGUAAUCCGACGGACAUAAAUAUUAAUGAGCCGGUUACCAUUCACGUUGAAUGGUUCUUUUGGAAACACGCUCUGAGAGGCGGAGUUUGAGCCGAACCCCGGAACGCUCCACACUCAUUCACUCCUCGCAGGCUGACAGGCAGGUAGGCACAUUGCGAGAGAACACUCGAACCGAAAGAAAAUGCCGAAACGCAAAUGUCAUUUCACUGAUGAAAUGCGAAAAAAGUACCCCUGUUUUCGUCCGGGUCAUGUCAAAUGGGAGGCAGAAUGUACAGUCUGCAAAGCUGGGACUUAUGUCUCUGUAGCUAAUAAGAAAAGGAAAAAGAAGGAAAAAAAGGACUGUUGACUUGAGGCAUUAUUUCUAUAUUUUUUCAUUUGCCAUUAGACAUUAUUUUGAAGAAUGGGCUAACUGAACAUUGAAGAAUAGGCUACCUCUCUUUUUUCUUUUUGUUUAAUAUUUUGAGGCAUUAUUUCUAUUUUUACAUAAUUGAUAAUUGGGAGGUUAUUUUGAAGAAUGGUACUCUACCUCACUUUUCCUAACUAAGGUGUAAAUGUCAGACUUAAGAGAGAUGAUUAUUUCUUAUUUUGUUAAACAUCUGAAUACAUGUGUUCCUACACAACUUGAGUCAAUAACUAUUAAAGACUAGAGCAUGCCAUAUUUGUAUGUGACUGAUUAUAUUGUUUAGGAGAAUUGCUUUAAAUUAAUAAAUAUAUUAUUUAUAAAGCAACUGUUUGUGAGUGUUUUGGGCUAUUUUUCUGUAUAUCCAGGUAAAGUGUUCUUUUCUGGGGAAUUCAGAAUAUCUGUUUAACUGAGUUUGAAGCACAGAAAGCCCCCUGACCCACGGAAAACCCCUA